rnacentral:rRNA from 1 species
GACAGAGGGUGCAAACGUUGCUCGGAAUUACUGGGCGUAAAGCGCACGUAGGCGGCUUUGCAAGUUAGAGGUGAAAGCCCGGGGCUCAACUCCGGAAUUGCCUUUAAAACUGCAUCGCUAGAAUUGUGGAGAGGUAAGUGGAAUUCCGAGUGUAGAGGUGAAAUUCGUAGAUAUUCGGAAGAACACCAGUGGCGAAGGCGACUUACUGGACACAUAUUGACGCUGAGGUGCGAAAGCGUGGGGAGCAAACAGG